rnacentral:lncRNA from 1 species
GCAAAGCCCGCCAACGCUCUGAUACCAAGUUGGUGUAGGACUAAUCCCGGAAGUGGUGACUGUCACGCUGCUACUUCAAUGUUGACUGCUGUAAUGGUAGAAGGUGAAAACAGAGGAAGGGGAGGAAGAGUAGGAAGAGAAGAAGGGAGGGAAAACGGCAAAGAGGAGAGGGAGAAGAGAAGAAAAAUGAGAAGAAAGAAGAGAGAAGAGGGAAACGUGGGGAAAGAAAUUCUUAAUUCUUCAUUGAAAACCUCAUCAUGAAAAUAGUUCCCUAUAUAGAGAGCCCAAAUACACAAUUUGCAUAAACCCCCUUACACAGAAAUAAAUUCUAAUAAACCCACAAAUAAGCCCUAAAAUGCAAAUAAGCCCAGAAAUAAAAUAAACCACAAAUAAGCCCUAAAAUGCAAAUAAACCUAGAAAUAAAAUAAUAAAAUAAACAUGCAAAUAAAAUGGUGGCCUAGCUGAUGUCCCCAUCAAAUAAACUAAGCUAACGAUAUUUAAUGCCAAAUAUUCUCUUAAAAAACACUUAGAGCUCUCAAGAGAGAUCAUGGAUCACCUACGAAUCCACUAUCACCACAGCUUCGAUACCAUUCCACGUCAUGGAGACUCCUAAUUUGAUGAUCAGACUUGGAAAAUCAGAAGUACAAUUCACAGUAUAUCCAGCAUCGAAACCUUAUUUUCUCCAUUAAAACUCUAGUCCAGAGAAAUAAAAGAAAUUAAAAUCGUGGAUGAACACCCAUUGAAAUCCUAAGUCGAAAACCUAAAAUUUCUUAGAAGAGAUCUCUAAGCACGAUCUCGAGAAACAUAAACAACGAGCGAAGCUGAAGAAAAAAUUUCUUGC